UACGUAGGAGGCAAGCGUUGUCCGGAAUUACUGGGCGUAAAGCGCGUGUAGGUGGUGGGACAAGUCUGCUGUGAAAGCGCCUGGCUUAACCGGGCGAGGUCGGCGGAAACUGUCCGACUCGAGGACGGUAGAGGGGGGUGGAAUUCCCGGUGUAGUGGUGAAAUUCGUAGAUAUCGGAAGGAACACCGGUGGCGAAAGCGGCGCGCUGGACCUCUUCUGACGCUGAGGCGCGAAAGCCAGGGGAGCAAACGGG
rnacentral:rRNA from 1 species